CCCUUAGAUGUUCUGGGCUGCACGCGCGCUACACUGUCGGAUUCAGCGAGUCAUAUCCUUAACCGAAAGGUUUGGGUAAUCUUUUGAAAGUCCGACGUGAUGGGGAUUGAUCAUUGCAAUUAUUGAUCAUGAACGAGGAAUUCCUAGUAAGCGCGAGUCAUCAGCUCGCGUUGAUUACGUCCCUGCCCUUUGUACACACCGCCCGUCGCUACUACCGAUUGAAUGGUUUAGUGAGAUCUUCGGAUUGGCGCCUACGCGGCUUCUCUGAGGCCACGCUGGAUGCCGAAAAGUUGCUCAAACUGUAUCAUUUAGAGGAAGUAAAAGGCGUAACA
rnacentral:rRNA from 1 species